rnacentral:tRNA from 1 species
CAAGGAAUAGUUUAAAAAAAAUAAUAGCUUUGGGUGUUAUUGAUAAAAGUUUAAUUCUUUUUUUCUUGA